rnacentral:rRNA from 1 species
UAGCUAGUUGGUGAGGUAAAGGCUUACCAAGGCGACGAUCUGUAGCGGGUCUGAGAGGAUGAUCCGCCACACUGGAACUGAGACACGGUCCAGACUCCUACGGGAGGCAGCAGUGGGGAAUUUUGGACAAUGGGGGCAACCCUGAUCCAGCCAUGCCGCGUGAGUGAAGAAGGCCUUCGGGUUGUAAAGCUCUUUCGGCCGGGAAGAAAUCGCAUGGGCCAAUACCCUGUGUGGAUGACGGUACCGGAAUAAGAAGCACCGGCUAACUACGUGCCAGCAGCCGCGGUAAUACGUAGGGUGCGAGCGUUAAUCGGAAUUACUGGGCGUAAAGCGUGCGCAGGCGGUUUUGUAAGACAGGCGUGAAAUCCCCGGGCUUAACCUGGGAACUGCGUUUGUGACUGCAAGGCUAGAGUACGGCAGAGGGGGGUGGAAUUCCACGUGUAGCAGUGAAAUGCGUAGAGAUGUGGAGGAACACCAAUGGCGAAGGCAGCCCCCUGGGUCGAUACUGACGCUCAUGCACGAAAGCGUGGGUAGCAAACAGGAUUAGAUACCCUGGUAGUCCACGCCCUAAACUAUGUCAACUAGGUGUUGGGUGGGUAAAACCAUUUAGUACCGUAGCUAACGCGUGAAGUUGACCGCCUGGGGAGUACGGCCGCAAGGUUAAAACUCAAAGGAAUUGACGGGGACCCGCACAAGCGGUGGAUGAUGUGGAUUAAUUCGAUGCAACGCGAAAAACCUUACCUACCCUUGACAUGCCAGGAACUUGCCAGAGAUGGCUUGGUGCCCGAAAGGGAGCCUGGACACAGGUGCUGCAUGGCUGUCGUCAGCUCGUGUCGUGAGAUGUUGGGUUAAGUCCCGCAACGAGCGCAACCCUUGUCGUUAAUUGCCAUCAUUUAGUUGGGCACUUUAACGAGACUGCCGGUGACAAACCGGAGGAAGGUGGGGAUGACGUCAAGUCCUCAUGGCCCUUAUGGGUAGGGCUUCACACGUCAUACAAUGGUCGGUACAAAGGGUUGCCAAGCCGCGAGGCGGAGCCAAUCCCAGAAAGCCGAUCGUAGUCCGGAUUGCAGGCUGCAACUUGCCUGCAUGAAGUCGGAAUCGCUAGUAAUCGUGGAUCAGCAUGUCACGGUGAAUACGUUCCCGGGUCUUGUACACACCGCCCGUCACACCAUGGGAGCGGGUUCCGCCAGAAGUAGGUAGCCUAACCGCAAGGGGGGCGCUUACCACGGCGGGGUUCGUGACUGGGGUGAAGUCGGAACAAGGUAGCCGUAGGGGAACCUGCGGCUG